AUUUUUUUGUUUGCAAUUCAAACACAAGGUC
rnacentral:tRNA from 4 species